rnacentral:rRNA from 1 species
GCAUAUCAAUAAGCGGAGGAAAAGAAACCAACAGGGAUUGCCCUAGUAACGGCGAGUGAAGCGGCAACAGCUCAAAUUUGAAAGCUAGCCUUCGGGUUCGCAUUGUAAUUUGUAGAGGAUGAUUUGGGGAAGCCGCCUGUCUAAGUUCCUUGGAACAGGACGUCAUAGAGGGUGAGAAUCCCGUAUGUGACAGGAAAUGGCACCCUAUGUAAAUCUCCUUCGACGAGUCGAGUUGUUUGGGAAUGCAGCUCUAAAUGGGAGGUAAAUUUCUUCUAAAGCUAAAUAUUGGCGAGAGACCGAUAGCGCACAAGUAGAGUGAUCGAAAGAUGAAAAGCACUUUGGAAAGAGAGUUAAAAAGCACGUGAAAUUGUUGAAAGGGAAGCGCUUGCAAUCAGACUUGUUUAAACUGUUCGGCCGGUCUUCUGACCGGUUUACUCAGUUUGGACAGGCCAGCAUCAGUUUCGGCGGCCGGAUAAAGGCUCUGGGAAUGUGGCCUCCACUUCGGUGGAGGUGUUAUAGCCCAGGGUGUAAUACGGCCAGCCGGGACUGAGGUCCGCGCUUCGGCUAGGAUGCUGGCGUAAUGGUUGUAAGCGACCCGUCUUGAAACACGGACCAAGGAGUCUAACAUCUAUGCGAGUGUUCGGGUGUCAAACCCCUGCGCGUAAUGAAAGUGAACGGAGGUGGGAACCCGCAAGGGUGCACCAUCGACCGAUCCUGAUGUCUUCGGAUGGAUUUGAGUAAGAGCAUAGCUGUUGGGACCCGAAAGAUGGUGAACUAUGCCUGAAUAGGGUGAAGCCAGAGGAAACUCUGGUGGAGGCUCGCAGCGGUUCUGACGUGCAAAUCGAUCGUCAAAUUUGGGUAUAGGGGCGAAAGACUAAUCGAACCAUCUAGUAGCUGGUUCCUGCCGA